rnacentral:rRNA from 1 species
AUUGAACGCUGGCGGCAUGCUUUACACAUGCAAGUCGAACGGCAGCGGGGGCUUCGGCCUGCCGGCGAGUGGCGAACGGGUGAGUAAUGCAUCGGAACGUGCCCAUGUCGUGGGGGAUAACGUAGCGAAAGCUACGCUAAUACCGCAUACGUCCUGAGGGAGAAAGCGGGGGAUCUUCGGACCUCGCGCGAUUGGAGCGGCCGAUGUCGGAUUAGCUAGUAGGUGAGGUAAAGGCUCACCUAGGCGACGAUCCGUAGCGGGUCUGAGAGGAUGAUCCGCCACACUGGGACUGAGACACGGCCCAGACUCCUACGGGAGGCAGCAGUGGGGAAUUUUGGGACAAUGGGCGCAAGCCUGAUCCAGCCAUGCCGCGUGAGUGAAGAAGGCCUCGG